rnacentral:rRNA from 1 species
GACGUAGGGCGCGAGCGUUGUCCGGAUUUAUUGGGCGUAAAGAGCUCGUAGGCGGUCUGUCGCGUCGGCUGUGAAAACCCGGAGCUCAACUCCGGGCCUGCAGUCGAUACGGGCAAACUGGAGUGUUGCAGGGGAGACUGGAAUUCCUGGUGUAGCGGUGAAAUGCGCAGAUAUCAGGAGGAACACCGGUGGCGAAGGCGGGUCUCUGGGCAACAACUGACGCUGAGGAGCGAAAGCGUGGGGAGCGAACAGG